rnacentral:rRNA from 1 species
CGGACGUGAGGGAACCUGCCUUAGGAGUGGGGAAUAACAGCUGGAAACAGCUGCUAAUACCGCAUAAUAUAUCUGGGCCGCAUGGCUCUGGAUAUCAAAGAUUUAUCGCUCUGAGAUGGACUCGCGUCUGAUUAGCUAGUUGGCGGGGUAACGGCCCACCAAGGCGACGAUCAGUAGCCGGACUGAGAGGUUGGCCGGCCACAUUGGGACUGAGACACGGCCCAAACUCCUACGGAAGGCAGCAG